rnacentral:rRNA from 1 species
AACGAACGCUGGCGGCAUGCCUAACACAUGCAAGUCGAACGAAGCCUUCGGGCUUAGUGGCGCACGGGUGCGUAACACGUGGGAAUCUGCCCUUCGGUUCGGAAUAACAGUUAGGAAUGACUGCUAAUACCGGAUGAUGACGAAAGUCCAAAGAUUUAUCGCCGAAGGAUGAGCCCGCGUAGGAUUAGGUAGUUGGUAGGGUAAUGGCCUACCAAGCCGACGAUCCUUAGCUGGUCUGAGAGGAUGAUCAGCCACACUGGGACUGAGACACGGCCCAGACUCCUACGGGAGGCAGCAGUGGGGAAUAUUGGACAAUGGGCGAAAGCCUGAUCCAGCAAUGCCGCGUGAGUGAUGAAGGCCUUAGGGUUGUAAAGCUCUUUUACCAGGGAUGAUAAUGACAGUACCUGGAGAAUAAGCUCCGGCUAACUCCGUG